GAAGAGAAAGGAAAUCAAGAAGAAGAAGAACGGAAGAAGAAGAAUGAGGAAAGGGUGCAAGUGUAAGAGCUUUUCCACACCUUGUUUUGAGGCUUGGAGCUCUACCAAGGUGGGAGUUUCUAUUUACCUUGCAUGUAAGAGAUUUUGAAAGAAUUAGAAGAGAAGAGAAAGAGGUGGGAGAAGGAGUUGGGAUGAGAAGAGUGGAGAUCUAAAUGGGGAAACAAGAAGAGGGUUGAGAUCUCAUUGAGAUAAAGAUUAAGGCUAUAAUACCACGAAGGAACUAGCCAUGUGGAUGAAUAUUCCAUUUGUUAGCUAAUUAUUGUUGAUUUUCUUGUAAUUAAUGGAUGUGUUGUAUUUCUCAAUUGAAAUGUACAGUUUUAAGAGAUUUGAAUUGUAAGUAUUGCCACCAAGGGAAGAUCCUGACACUCUGAUGCAAUGGAACUCUAUGUAAUAUUAGAAAACAUUUAAUUUUUAAUGGAGGAUAUUACGAGUUAGAUUUU